rnacentral:sRNA from 1 species
UGCGCACCACUUCGGGAUCCGGCAGGA